rnacentral:rRNA from 1 species
AAAUGUUGUACACACCGCCCGUCGCUACUACCGAUUGAAUGGCUUAGUGAGACCUCCGGAUCGGCACCAGUGGGACCGCAAGGUCCAACUGUCGCUGAGAAGUUGGUCAAACUUGGUCAUUUAGAGGAAGUAAAAGUCGUAACAAGG